rnacentral:rRNA from 1 species
UACGGGAGGCAGCAGGGGGAAUAUUGCACAAUGGGCGAAAGCCUGAUGCAGCUAUGCCGCGUGUAUGAAGAAGGCCUUAGGGUUGUAAAGUACUUUCAGCAGGGAGGAAAGAAAUAAAACUAAUAAUUUUAUUUUGUGACGUUACCUGAAGAAGAAGCACCGGCUAACUCCGUGCCAGCAGCCGCGGUAAUACGGAGGGUGCGAGCGUUAAUCGGAAUUACUGGGCGUAAAGGGCACGCAGGCGGUUAAUUAAGUUGGAUGUGAAAUCCCCGGGCUUAACCUGGGAAUGGCAUUCAAGACUGGUUAGCUAGAGUCUUGUAGAGGGGGGUAGAAUUCCAUGUGUAGCGGUGAAAUGCGUAGAGAUGUGGAGGAAUACCGGUGGCGAAGGCGGCCCCUGGACAAAGACUGACGCUCAUGUGCGAAAGCGUGGGGAGCAAACAGGGAUUAGAUACC